AUGUCCAACGCCGCCACGGGCGCCGGCCGCAACAACGGCGACGGCGAGCAUCCCAAUGGCGGUCACCCGCACUACCACCACCGGCAGCGGGAGCACCACUGGCGGCCCCCGCACCCGCACAGCAGCAGGGCGUACCGCUCGGGCGUGCUGCGGUGGGCGAUGGCGGUGCUGUUCACGGUGCUGGCCGUGCUAGUCCUGCUGGCGGCCGUCUCCGUGCUGCUGGUGGUGCUGGUGCUGCAGCCCCGGGCGCCGUACCUGGCCGUGCAGAAUGCGCGGCUGGGGAACCUGGUGUACGACCAGCAGGGGGUGCUGGACAACGCGGAGCUGGAGCUGGACGUGCGCGCCGCCAACGUCAACGCCCACGCCGCCGUGGCCUUCUCGGAGCUCGAGCUGCGGCUGAGCUUCCACGACAUGGUGAUCGCCAUCCUGCGCGCCGACCCCUUCGUGGUGCCGCCCAGGGGCGAGCGCCCGCUGGGCUACGUGGCGUCCUCGGAGGCGGUGCCGCUGGACGGCGCCGGGCGCGCCGCCAUGGAGGGCGCGCUGGACCGCGGCGUGGUGCCGUUCCGGGUGAGCGGGCAGGCGCGGACGCGGUGGAAGGUGGGCGGGCUGGUGGCCGUCAAGUACUGGACGCGGCUGGCAUGCCAGAUCCGCUUCUUCUGGCCCAACGGCACAGCGCUCGACUUCACCUGCAACUCCAAGUCCAGGUCCCGCUACUGA
rnacentral:rRNA from 1 species